CAAUAGCGUAUAUUAAAGUUGUUGCAGUUAAAAGCUCGUAGUUGGAUCUCGGGUCCAGGCCUGCGGUUCCUUUAACGAGGACACUGCUUGCCCUGACCUACCUGCCGGUUUUCCCUUGGUGCUCUUGACUGAGUGUCUCGGGUUGCCGGAACGUUUACUUUGAGGAAAUAAGAGUGUUCCAAGCAGGCUCUCGUCGUGCAUAGCUCAGCAUGGAAUAAUAGCAUUGGAUCUCGAUUCCAAACUGUUGGUUGUAGGAAACGAGAUAAUGAUGAAGAGGGAUAGUUGGGGGCAUUCGUAUUUAACUGUCAGAGGUGAAAUUCUUGGAUUUGUUAAAGACGAACUACUGCGAAAGCAUCUGCCAUGGAUGUUUUCAUUGAUCAAGAACGAAAGUUAGGGGAUCGAAGACGAUCAGAUACC
rnacentral:rRNA from 1 species